rnacentral:rRNA from 1 species
GCUCAACCGGGGAGGGUCAUUGGAAACUGGGGAACUUGAGUGCAGAAGAGGAGAGUGGAAUUCCACGUGUAGCGGUGAAAUGCGUAGAGAUGUGGAGGAACACCAGUGGCGAAGGCGACUCUCUGGUCUGUAACUGACGCUGAGGCGCGAAAGCGUGGGGAGCGAACAGGAUUAGAUACCCUGGUAGUCCACGCCGUAAACGAUGAGUGCUAAGUGUUAGGGGGUUUCCGCCCUUUAGUGCUGCAGCAAACGCAUUAAGCACUCCGCCUGGGGAGUACGGUCGCAAGACUGAAACUCAAAGGAAUUGACGGGGGCCCGCACAAGCGGUGGAGCAUGUGGUUUAAUUCGAAGCAACGCGAAGAACCUUACCAGGUCUUGACAUCCUCUGACAACCCUAGAGAUAGGGCUUCCCCUUCGGGGGCAGAGUGACAGGUGGUGCAUGGUUGUCGUCAGCUCGUGUCGUGAGAUGUUGGGUUAAGUCCCGCAACGAGCGCAACCCUUGAUCUUAGUUGCCAGCAUUCAGUUGGGCACUCUAAGGUGACUGCCGGUGACAAACCGGAGGAAGGUGGGGAUGACGUCAAAUCAUCAUGCCCCUUAUGACCUGCGCUACACACGUGCUACAAUGGGCAGAACAAAG